rnacentral:misc_RNA from 1 species
GCUGUCCAGCGCAAUAAAGAGGGUGCAGCUGGAGCUCGCUUGCCUGGAAACAGAGGUUGGUAGGAACUCAGCAAAUACCAAUCCGCUCAAUGCCAAGCCUUACCCAUACCCUCUCUCCCACUAUUUCCAGCCGCCGCGUAGGCACCUGAACGCAGAUCAAUAACCCACACACACACGCAUUUCUAUCUCUAACGCUAUGUCUCUUGCCAGAACUCCGUCACACACGACGGAGUCCACCUGGGACUGCAUGCUCCCUGGCCCGCCAUCACGCAACAAUUUUGGUUCCAUCGACCUUUCCUCCUCUGGUCUCCUCGCCUUUCCCUCCGGAUCCUCCAUUUCAGUCGUCGAUUCCCGUUCCCUCCAGCUUAUUUCCACGAUUCCUCUGCCUCCUCCUUCAUCUCCUUCUUCCAAUUCCUCUUCUUCUUUAUCUCCAUUCAUCACUUCCAUUCGCUGGACUCCUCUUCCCCUCCAUCGUGACCUCCUCUCCACCGAGCCCUCCUCUCAUCUCCUCCUCGCUGCCGCUGACCGUCAUGGCCGCAUUGCCCUCCUUGAUUUUCGUCUCAAGUCUGUUCUCCUCUGGUUCGACCAGGAUCCUAACCCGAAAUGUGGCAUCCAGGACCUUUGCUGGGUACUCUCCCGCCCCGAUUCAUAUAUCCUAGCUUCCAUCGCUGGUCCUUCCUCUCUCUCCCUUUACAGCAUCACUUCUUCUGCUCGAUGUUUCUUCAAAUACGAUGCGUCGCCGGAGUUCCUCUCGUGUAUCCGUCGCGAUCCGUUCGAUUCCCGCCAUUUUUGUGUGCUCGGACUCAAAGGCUUUCUGCUAUCCAUUAAGGUGCUUGGAGAAACAGAGGAUGAUGUUGCGAUAAAGGAGCUUCACAUUCCAGCGGAUUGCAGUGAAUUGCUGCGGCUAGAGAGGGAUGCAGCAGGUGGAUCCUCUUCUUCGGCGCCAGCUUCGGCAGUGUACCCUCUCUACUGCGUGAAAUUCGCGUUUUCGCCGCAGUGGAGGCACAUUAUCUUUGUGACUUUUCCCAGAGAGUUGGUGGUGUUCGAUUUGCAGUACGAGACGGCCCUUUUUAGCACGGCAUUGCCACGAGGGUGUGGGAAGUUUCUGGAUGUGUUACCGGAUCCAAAUAAUGAGCUGCUGUAUUGUGCUCACCUUGAUGGGAGGCUCAGCAUAUGGCGUCGUAAAGAAGGAGAGCAGGUGCAUGUAAUGUGUACGAUGGAGGAGAUGAUGCCCUCAAUUGGCUCAUCUGUCCCUUCUCCUUCGGUUCUAGCUGUCACCAUCUGCCAAUCAGAGUCCACACUCCAAAAUGUUGCCAAGUUAUAUUCUGAUGCACCUAAUGCACCUUUAGCUGAUAUGGAUUUUGAUAAUCCCUUUGAUUUCUGUGAUGACACUCUUCUUCUUUCCAAGACACAUGUGAUAUCCAUUUCUGAUGAUGGAAAAAUAUGGAACUGGCUCUUGACUGCUGAAGGGAUUGGAGACACCCAAAAGGAUGUUACAGACUUGGGUAUAGUUUCUGAUUCCUGUGAAGUGCCAGUUUUGGGGGCCAAUGGUAAUGGCUUAGCUUCUGCUGAUGGACUUGCUUCUGAAGCAAGCAAGCAACAAGAGAAUAUGGGUGUCAAUAAAAGCCGUCCAUCGUCUAUUCUUAGCCAGGCAAGCAUAUCCUGCAAGAUCAGCCUAGUUGGACAGCUGCAGCUUCUUUCUUCAACAGUAACUAUGCUGGCUGUGCCCUCCCCCUCUUUGACAGCUACUUUGGCACGUGGAGGAAAUUAUCCUGCUGUAGCUGUUCCCCUGGUUGCUUUGGGAACUCAGAGCGGAACAGUUGACAUCGUUGAUGUUUCUGCCAAUGCUGUUGCUGCAAGUUUCUCAGUUCAUAAUGGUACAGUUAGAGGAUUACGAUGGCUUGGAAAUUCUAGACUGGUUUCAUUUUCUUACAAUCAGGUGAAUGAAAAAACUGGAGGUUACAUUAAUAAGCUUGUUGUGACCUGUCUUAGAAGUGGCCUUAACAGACCAUUUCGGGUUUUACAAAAGCCAGAGCGUGCACCCAUUAGAGCUUUGAGGACUUCUUCAUCUGGAAGGUAUCUUCUUAUUUUGUUUCGUGAUGCUCCUGUGGAGGUUUGGGCAAUGACAAAAAGUCCCAUUAUGAUCAUUAGCUCUUCCAUUCACGGUAUUGGAAUGGACUCUUCCAACAGUUCCACGGACAGUUCAAAAUGGUCCUUCUAGGCAAUUUUCAUGGUCGUCAAAAGAUCAGCAACCAGUAGAUUCAGAUGCAGCAUCUACCCCAAAGGCUGCCUCAUCAGAAUCUACGGCAGCUAGCUCAGAUGCUUCUCAGGAUGACACAGCAGAAAGCUUUGCAUUUGCACUAGUAAAUGGUGCACUUGGAGUUUUUGAGGUUCAUGGGCGGAGGAUCCGGGACUUCAGACCAAAAUGGCCCUCUUCUUCAUUUGUUUCAUCUGAUGGAUUGAUCACAGCCAUGGCCUACCGCUUACCUCAUGUUGUUAUGGGAGAUAGGUCAGGGAACAUACGAUGGUGGGAUGUGACGACUGGGCAUUCUUCAUCUUUUAACACUCAUAGGGAAGGAAUCAGGAGAAUCAAAUUCUCACCCAUUGUCCCUGGAGACCGUAGCCGAGGACGUAUUGCAGUGCUUUUUUUAUGAUAAUACCUUUUCUGUAUUUGACCUUUGGGACGGGGUGAGUUGGUGGGAAAUUUGAGCACUAGUGGAGGAUCCACGAGGAACUUCGUUAAAAUCCAGCAAGCAUUUGCUAUAUACAUUCUUUUGAACCAUAUUUUAUGUUAUUAUUUAUUACUGCUUGUGUGCAUUUACAUCUUUUAAUGGAGUUCCUCACUUAAUCCUGUUGCUCUACAUGUUCUCAAAUUGCAGGAUUCACAGGAUCCAUUAGCCAAUUCUCUUUUGCAACCUCAAUUUCCUGGAACCCUUGUAUUGGAACUUGAUUGGCUGCCUUUGCGGGGUGACAAAAAUGACCCUCUGGUGUUAUGCAUUGCUGGAGCUGAUAGCAGCUUCCGCCUUGUUGAAGUUAACAUAAAUGACAAAAAGCCUGGAUAUGGAUUGCGGCCUCGGGCUACUAAAGAAAGAUUCAGGCCUAUGCCAAUAUGCUCUCCGAUACUGUUCCCUACACCACAUGCGCUGGCAUUGCGGAUGAUUUUGCAACUGGGCGUCAAGCCCUCUUGGUUUAACACUUGCGGAACAGCUAUUGAUAAGAGGCCUCAUUCCAUUCCUGGAACUGCUUCACCUGCAGCAGAUCUACGCAGUUACAUGAUUGAUUUACCUGCUGUUGGUGAUUCUGUAGUGCCAGAAAUGCUCCUUAAAGUAUUAGAGCCUUAUCGAAAAGAAGGAUGCAUACUUGAUGAUGAGAGAGCAAGAUUAUAUGCUACCAUAGUCAACAAAGGUUGUGCUGUGAGGUUUGCCUUUGCAGCUGCUAUUUUUGGUGAAACUUCGGAAGCUCUUUUCUGGUUGCAAUUGCCUCAUGCCCUAAAACAUUUGAUAAAUAAGUUGGUAAAUAAGUCUCCACAGAAAGUACCCAUCUCAGCUUCAAUGCCGGAGAUUGAUGGCACGGCUAUGUUGAACAGAAUUGCAUCAAAGGGGAAAUCAGUAACUGGUACUGAGAACAGGGAUUUAUUGAGCAGUGGUCAACUUAGAUUGAUGGCUUUCCAGCAAGAAGAGUUAUGGGAGAGUGCUAAUGAGCGCAUUCCUUGGCAUGAGAAACUGGAGGGAGAAGAGGCUAUUCAAAACCAUGUGCAUGAGCUUGUAUCAGUUGGGAAUUUGGAAGCAGCAGUUAGUUUGUUGCUUUCCACCUCUCCAGAUAGUUCUUAUUUCUAUGCAAAUGCUCUACGUGCGGUUGCUCUUUCUUCUGCUGUGUCAAGAUCUCUUCAUGAGCUUGCAGUUAAGGUUGUUGCAGCUAACAUGGUCAGGACUGACAGAUCAUUGUCUGGUACUCAUCUUCUUUGUGCUGUUGGAAGGUAUCAAGAAGCUUGUUCUCAGGUUAGGUUCUAUACCAUUUCUUUUUUAUUUGCAUAUUUAAGGUCUUGUGGUGUAGUUAUGAAAUUUUAGUCUUUCUUCAAAUUCCGCUGCAUUUCGGUAUUUCAGCAUUCAGUUGAGUAUGUGUGGUACUUGUCCAUUUUGCUCUCUUUUGCAUAUCGAAAACUUAUCCUGGUCCACACUCAGUUUAUUCAGGCUCUGGAAGAGAGUGACAACUUCUUGGAGAAUACGAUCAUAAACUUCUGAGAGCAUUGCUUACAUCAUUGCUAAAUUUGUAGGGAUCAUAUCAAAUCUUCCAUCUUUAAAGUGAUCUCCAUAUAUCAUCACUGAGCUCCAUUCAGUUGUGUUUUUUCCCUUUGCUGAAUCAAUAACAGAUCCUCCAAAGUUUGUGGUUGGACUUCCAAUUCUAACACAUUCACUUCUGCAGCUGCAAGAUGCUGGAUGCUGGACAGAUGCUGCAACUUUAGCUGCUACACACUUGAAGGGAUCUGAUUAUGCAAGGGUCUUGCAAAGAUGGGCUGAGCAUGUUCUUCGUUCUGAAUACAACAUCUGGAGGGCUCUAAUUUUGUUUGUUGCGGCUGGUGCAUUGCAAGAGGCCCUUGCAGCACUUCGUGAAGCACAGCAACCUGAUACAGCUGCCAUGUUUAUACUUGCUUGCCGAGAAAUCCAUGGAGAAAUUAUUGGUCAUUUAAGAAAUUCAGAUGAUGAAUCAGGGUCUUCAGACAAUAAUGUUCUAAUUAACUUACCUGGGUUGAACCCAGAGAAUGAAGAUGUUAUUGCAGUUGGUGAAUAUUUUGGGCAGUAUCAAAGAAAAUUGGUGCAUCUAUGCAUGGACGCACAGCCAUUUUCUGAUUAAUUGACCAAGCGUGUUAGAUUUUUUUUUUAUUUUUUAAUUGUAGUUUCUCAUCUUGUAUUGAUUAGUAAUGACUAUUUCAAAAAAAAGGAAGCUCAUGGCCAGUCAAUAGAUUGGAUUCAGAUCAUGACACCAAAGACCAGAUUCAAUUGCAAAAGUUAGCUCUGCAUCCCGGUUGAAGUUUGGUGAGAGGACAAGAAGAGACGGAUGAAAAGGUUUUUCUGCUUAGAUCUCUACUCAGAAUGGCUUGUGGUAAAGUUGUUGACUUCUCUACUCCAUUUUCG